GACGAACGCUGGCGGCGUGCUUAACACAUGCAAGUCGAACGGAAAGGCCCUGCUUUUGUGGGGUGCUCGAGUGGCGAACGGGUGAGUAACACGUGAGUAACCUGCCCUUGACUUUGGGAUAACUUCAGGAAACUGGGGCUAAUACCGGAUAGGAGCUCCUGCUGCAUGGUGGGGGUUGGAAAGUUUCGGCGGUUGGGGAUGGACUCGCGGCUUAUCAGCUUGUUGGUGGGGUAGUGGCUUACCAAGGCUUUGACGGGUAGCCGGCCUGAGAGGGUGACCGGCCACAUUGGGACUGAGAUACGGCCCAGACUCCUACGGGAGGCAGCAGUGGGGAAUAUUGCACAAUGGGCGGAAGCCUGUUGCAGCAACGCCGCGUGCGGGAUGACGGCCUUCGGGGUGUAAACCGCUUUCGCCUGUGACGAAGCGUGAGUGACGGUAAUGGGUAAAGAAGCACCGGCUAACUACGUG
rnacentral:rRNA from 1 species